rnacentral:tRNA from 1 species
GGGCUCGUGGUCUAGGGGUUAUGACGUCGCGCUUACAACGCGGAGGUCGGGAGUUCGAAUCUCCCCCGAGCCCA